rnacentral:misc_RNA from 1 species
UGCAGAGGGGGCAAGCGUUAUCCGAAUUUACUGAGCGUAAAGCGCGUGUAGGCGGCCGGGUAAGUUGGACGUGAAAGCUCCUGGCUCAACUAGGAGAGGUCGUUCAAAACUGCCUGGCUAGAGGGCGACAGAGGGAGGUGGAAUUCCCGGUGUAGUGGUGAAAUGCGUAGAUAUCGGGAGGAACACCAGUGGCGAAGGCGGCCUCCUGGGUCGCCCCUGACGCUCAGACGCGAAAGCUAGGGGAGCAAACGGG